rnacentral:tRNA from 1 species
GGCAAGGUAGCUCAGCUGGUUAGAGCACACGGUUCAUACCCGUGCGGUCGUCGGUUCGAUUCCGACCCUUGCUACCG